rnacentral:rRNA from 1 species
CCUACGGGAGGCAGCAGUAGGGAAUCUUUCACAAUGGGCGAAAGCCUGAUGGAGCAACGCCGCGUGCAGGAUGAAGGCCUUCGGGUUGUAAACUGCUUUUAUAAGCGAGAAAUAUGAUGGUAACUUAUGAAUAAGGAUCGGCUAACUACGUGCCAGCAGCCGCGGUCAUACGUAGGAUCCGAGCAUUAUCCGGAGUGACUGGGUGUAAAGAGUUGCGUAGGUGGCAUAAUAAGUAGCUAUGGAAAUCUGGUGGCUCAACCAUUCAGACUAUUAGCUAAACUGUUAAGCUCGAGACCGUUAGGGGUAACUGGAAUUUCUAGUGUAGGAGUGAAAUCCGUAGAUAUUAGAAGGAACACCAAUAGCGUAGGCAGGUUGCUGGGACGGUUCUGACACUAAGGCACGAAAGCGUAGGGAGCAAACGGGAUUAGAUACCCGAGUAGUC